rnacentral:rRNA from 1 species
UACGUGGGGAGCAAGCGUUGUUCGGAUUUACUGGGCGUAAAGGGCGUGUAGGCGGCCACCGCAGGUCGGUUGUGAAAUCUCCGGGCUUAACCCGGAAAGGUCAACCGAUACUGCGGGGCUAGAGUGCAGAAGGGGCAACUGGAAUUCUCGGUGUAGCGGUGAAAUGCGUAGAUAUCGAGAGGAACACCUGCGGCGAAGGCGGGUUGCUGGGCUGACACUGACGCUGAAACGCGAAAGCUAGGGGAGCGAACGGG